rnacentral:rRNA from 1 species
UACGGAGGGUGCAAGCGUUGCUCGGAAUUAUUGGGCGUAAAGGGUAGGUAGGUGGUCUCAUUUGUCUGGGGUGAAAGCCUUGAGCUUAACUCAAGAAGUGCCCCAGAAACGGUGAGACUGGAGUCCUGGAGAGGGUCGUGCAAUUCCCGGUGUAGCGGUGAAAUGCGUAGAGAUCGGGAGGAACACCAGAGGCGAAAGCGGCGACCUGGACAGGAACUGACACUCAACUACGAAAGCGUGGGGAGCAAACAGG